GACGAACGCUGGCGGCGUGCUUAACACAUGCAAGUCGAACGAUGAAGCCGGAGCUUGCUCUGGUGAAUUAGUGGCGAACGGGUGAGUAACACGUGAGUAACCUGCCCUUGACUCUGGGAUAACUGCGGGAAACUGUAGCUAAUACCGGAUACGACCCUCGGAGGCAUCUCCUGGGGGUGGAAAGAAUUUCGGUCAAGGAUGGACUCGCGGCCUAUCAGCUAGUUGGUGAGGUAAAGGCUCACCAAGGCGACGACGGGUAGCCGGCCUGAGAGGGGGACCGGCCACACGGGGACUGAGACACGGCCCAGUCUCCUACGGGACGCAGCAGUGGGGAAUAUUGCACAAUGGGCGCAAGCCUGAUGCAGCAACGCCGCGUGAGGGAUGACGGCCUUCGGGUUGUAAACCUCUUUUAGCAGGGAAGAAGCGAAAGUGACGGUACCUGCAGAAAAAGCACCGGCUAACUACGUGCCAGCCGCCGCGGUAA
rnacentral:rRNA from 1 species